rnacentral:rRNA from 1 species
UACAGAGGGUGCGAGCGUUAAUCGGAUUUACUGGGCGUAAAGGGCGCGUAGGUGGUAAGGCAAGUAAGAUGUGAAAGCCCUGGGCUUAACCUGGGAAGUGCAUCUUAAACUGCCUAACUAGAGUAUGGUAGAGGGUAGCGGAAUUUCCGGUGUAGCGGUGAAAUGCGUAGAGAUCGGAAGGAACGCCAGUGGUGAAGACGGCUACCUGGACCAAUACUGACACUGAGGCGCGAAAGCGUGGGGAUCAAACAGG